rnacentral:rRNA from 1 species
UGCUUGAGAGUGGCGAACGGGUGAGUAAUAUAUCGGAACGUGCCCAGUCGUGGGGGAUAACGUAGAGAAAUUUACGCUAAUACCGCAUACGAUCUAAGGAUGAAAGCGGGGGACUUCGCAAGAGGCCUCGUGCGAUUGGAGCGGCUGAUCUCAGAUUAGGUUGUUGGUGAGGUAAAAGCUCACCAAGCCGACGAUCUGUAGCUGGUUUGAGAGAACGACCAGCCACACUGGGACUGAGACACGGCCCAGACUCCUACGGGAGGCAGCAGUGGGGAAUUUUGGACAAUGGGCGAAAGCCUGAUCCAGCAAUGCCGCGUGUGGGAAGAAGGCCUUCGGGUUGUAAACCACUUUUGUACGGAACGAAACGCCUCGCUUUAAUACAGUGGGGUAAUGACGGUACCGUAAGAAUAAGCACCGGCUAACUACGUGCCAGCAGCCGCGGUAAUACGUAGGGUGCGAGCGUUAAUCGGAAUUACUGGGCGUAAAGCGUGCGCAGGCGGUUAUAUAAGACAGUUGUGAAAUCCCCGGGCUCAACCUGGGAAUUGCAUCUGUGACUGUAUAGCUAGAGUACGGUAGAGGGGGAUGGAAUUCCGCGUGUAGCAGUGAAAUGCGUAGAUAUGC